AGAGUUUGAUCCUGGCUCAGGNNGAACGCUGGCGGCAUGCCUUACACAUGCAAGUCGGACGGCAGCGCGGGAGCAAUCCUGGCGGCGAGUGGCGAACGGGUGAGUAAUACAUCGGAACAUGUCCAGUAGUGGGGGAUAGCCCGGCGAAAGCCGGAUUAAUACCGCAUACGAUCUACGGAUGAAAGCGGGGGAUCUUCGGACCUCGCGCUAUUGGGGUGGCCGAUGGCGGAUUAGCUAGUUGGUGGGGUAAAGGCCUACCAAGGCGACGAUCCGUAGCUGGUCUGAGAGGACGACCAGCCACACUGGGACUGAGACACGGCCCAGACUCCUACGGGAGGCAGCAGUGGGGAAUUUUGGACAAUGGGGGCAACCCUGAUCCAGCAAUGCCGCGUGUGUGAAGAAGGCCUUCGGGUUGUAAAGCACUUUUGUCCGGAAAGAAAUCCUUUUCGAUAAUACCGAGAGGGGAUGACGGUACCGGAAGAAUAAGCACCGGCUAACUACGUGCCAGCAGCCGCGGUAAUACGUAGGGUGCAAGCGUUAAUCGGAAUUACUGGGCGUAAAGCGUGCGCAGGCGGUGAUGCAAGACCGAUGUGAAAUCCCCGGGCUUAACCUGGGAACUGCAUUGGUGACUGCAUCGCUAGAGUAUGGCAGAGGGGGGUAGAAUUCCACGUAGCAGUGAAAUGCGUAGAGAUGUGGAGGAAUACCGAUGGCGAAGGCAGCCCCCUGGGUCAAUACUGACGCUCAUGCACGAAAGCGUGGGGAGCAAACAGGAUUAGAUACCCCGGUAGUCC
rnacentral:rRNA from 1 species